GGGUCGAUGCCCGAGUGGCUAAUGGGGACGGACUGUAAAUUCGUUGGCAAUAUGUCUACGCUGGUUCAAAUCCAGCUCGGCCCA
rnacentral:tRNA from 6 species